AAGCCCUUUGGACAGAGAAGCAAUGGCACAAAUUCUCAGUGAAAUCACAUGGAGAUGCUGUUGUGUCCUCCAAGGAGCCAUCAGUGGCCAGAGAGCUCUUGGAGGAGCAGACACUCAGAGAAUGGACAUGGGAAGUGCCAUGGAAAAUUGGAAAGAGACACUAAACAGCACAGAUGCAAGCCAUCUCCCAAUGUGUCAAUAUCUUAUUGGCAAGGAAGCAUCCAGCCCCAGAGCUGGAAUGGAGACCCUGUUUCCAGCCCCGGUAUCGUGUGAUUAUGUUACAGCAAAAAAACCAUCUGAUCAAAUAACUCCUGAUUGAAAAGACAGGCUGUGACAGUCUGAUCUGAACACACCUUCAUUUCAGAAAUAAC